rnacentral:rRNA from 1 species
AGUGAACGCUGGCGGUAGGCCUAACACAUGCAAGUCGAACGGCAGCACAGUAAGAGCUUGCUCUUACGGGUGGCGAGUGGCGGACGGGUGAGGAAUACAUCGGAAUCUACUUUUUCGUGGGGGAUAACGUAGGGAAACUUACGCUAAUACCGCAUACGACCUACGGGUGAAAGCAGGGGAUCUUCGGACCUUGCGCGAUUGAAUGAGCCGAUGUCGGAUUAGCUAGUUGGCGGGGUAAAGGCCCACCAAGGCGACGAUCCGUAGCUGGUCUGAGAGGAUGCUAGGGAACAAGGUAACUGAGAAACGGGCGAGAGUGCGAAGGGAGGCAGCAGUAGGGAAUAGUCAGAAAGGGGAGAAAGAAUGAUGGAGCAAAGCCGAGGGAGGGAAGAAGGUAUUAGGAUCGGAAAACCCGGUUAUUAGGGAAGAACAAAUGGGUAAGGAACUAUGCAAGUCUUGACGGGAACGAAUAAGAAAGGAACGGAUAACUAAGUG